rnacentral:rRNA from 4 species
UUAAGCGACUAAGCGUACACGGUGGAUGCCCUGGCAGUCAGAGGCGAUGAAGGACGUGCUAAUCUGCGAUAAGCGCCGGUAAGGUGAUAUGAACCGUUAUAACCGGCGAUUUCCGAAUGGGGAAACCCAGUGUGAUUCGUCACACUAUCAUUAACUGAAUCCAUAGGUUAAUGAGGCGAACCGGGGGAACUGAAACAUCUAAGUACCCCGAGGAAAAGAAAUCAACCGAGAUUCCCCCAGUAGCGGCGAGCGAACGGGGAGGAGCCCAGAGCCUGAAUCAGCAUGUGUGUUAGUGGAAGCGUCUGGAAAGGCGCGCGAUACAGGGUGACAGCCCCGUACACAAAAGCGCAUGUGCUGUGAGCUCGAUGAGUAGGGCGGGACACGUGGUAUCCUGUCUGAAUAUGGGGGGACCAUCCUCCAAGGCUAAAUACUCCUGACUGACCGAUAGUGAACCAGUACCGUGAGGGAAAGGCGAAAAGAACCCCGGCGAGGGGAGUGAAAAAGAACCUGAAACCGUGUACGUACAAGCAGUGGGAGCACCCUUCGGGGUGUGACUGCGUACCUUUUGUAUAAUGGGUCAGCGACUUAUAUUCUGUAGCAAGGUUAACCGUAUAGGGGAGCCGGAGGGAAACCGAGUCUUAACCGGGCGUUAAGUUGCAGGGUAUAGACCCGAAACCCGGUGAUCUAGCCAUGGGCAGGUUGAAGGUUGGGUAACACUAACUGGAGGACCGAACCGACUAAUGUUGAAAAAUUAGCGGAUGACCUGUGGCUGGGGGUGAAAGGCCAAUCAAACCGGGAGAUAGCUGGUUCUCCCCGAAAGCUAUUUAGGUAGCGCCUCGUGAAUUCAUCUCCGGGGGUAGAGCACUGUUUCGGCUAGGGGGCCAUCCCGGCUUACCAACCCGAUGCAAACUGCGAAUACCGGAGAAUGUUAUCACGGGAGACACACGGCGGGUGCUAACGUCCGUCGUGAAGAGGGAAACAACCCAGACCGCCAGCUAAGGUCCCAAAGUCAUGGUUAAGUGGGAAACGAUGUGGGAAGGCCCAGACAGCCAGGAUGUUGGCUUAGAAGCAGCCAUCAUUUAAAGAAAGCGUAAUAGCUCACUGGUCGAGUCGGCCUGCGCGGAAGAUGUAACGGGGCUAAACCAUGCACCGAAGCUGCGGCAGCGAACGUAUCACCCAAGACAACUUUACGGAGUUGACGAUUGACGGAGCGAAGCGACGUCAAAGCGUUCAUUAAAGUCGAGUUGGCUUAGGGAUACGUUCGUUGGGUAGGGGAGCGUUCUGUAAGCCUGUGAAGGUGUGUCGUGAGGCAUGCUGGAGGUAUCAGAAGUGCGAAUGCUGACAUAAGUAACGAUAAAGCGGGUGAAAAGCCCGCUCGCCGGAAGACCAAGGGUUCCUGUCCAACGUUAAUCGGGGCAGGGUGAGUCGACCCCUAAGGCGAGGCCGAAAGGCGUAGUCGAUGGGAAACGGGUUAAUAUUCCCGUACUUGGUGUUACUGCGAAGGGGGGACGGAGAAGGCUAUGUUGGCCGGGCGACGGUUGUCCCGGUUUAAGCGUGUAGGUGUGUGUUCCAGGUAAAUCCGGUUCACUUUAACACUGAGGCGUGACGACGAGGCACUACGGUGCUGAAGCAACAAAUGCCCUGCUUCCAGGAAAAGCCUCUAAGCAUCAGGUAACAUCAAAUCGUACCCCAAACCGACACAGGUGGUCAGGUAGAGAAUACCAAGGCGCUUGAGAGAACUCGGGUGAAGGAACUAGGCAAAAUGGUGCCGUAACUUCGGGAGAAGGCACGCUGACACGUAGGUGAAGUGAUUUACUCAUGGAGCUGAAGUCAGUCGAAGAUACCAGCUGGCUGCAACUGUUUAUUAAAAACACAGCACUGUGCAAACACGAAAGUGGACGUAUACGGUGUGACGCCUGCCCGGUGCCGGAAGGUUAAUUGAUGGGGUCAGCGCAAGCGAAGCUCCUGAUCGAAGCCCCGGUAAACGGCGGCCGUAACUAUAACGGUCCUAAGGUAGCGAAAUUCCUUGUCGGGUAAGUUCCGACCUGCACGAAUGGCGUAAUGAUGGCCAGGCUGUCUCCACCCGAGACUCAGUGAAAUUGAACUCGCUGUGAAGAUGCAGUGUACCCGCGGCAAGACGGAAAGACCCCGUGAACCUUUACUAUAGCUUGACACUGAACAUUGAGCCUUGAUGUGUAGGAUAGGUGGGAGGCUUUGAAGUGUGGACGCCAGUCUGCAUGGAGCCGACCUUGAAAUACCACCCUUUAAUGUUUGAUGUUCUAACGUGGACCCGUAAUCCGGGUUGCGGACAGUGUCUGGUGGGUAGUUUGACUGGGGCGGUCUCCUCCUAAAGAGUAACGGAGGAGCACGAAGGUUGGCUAAUCCUGGUCGGACAUCAGGAGGUUAGUGCAAUGGCAUAAGCCAGCUUGACUGCGAGCGUGACGGCGCGAGCAGGUGCGAAAGCAGGUCAUAGUGAUCCGGUGGUUCUGAAUGGAAGGGCCAUCGCUCAACGGAUAAAAGGUACUCCGGGGAUAACAGGCUGAUACCGCCCAAGAGUUCAUAUCGACGGCGGUGUUUGGCACCUCGAUGUCGGCUCAUCACAUCCUGGGGCUGAAGUAGGUCCCAAGGGUAUGGCUGUUCGCCAUUUAAAGUGGUACGCGAGCUGGGUUUAGAACGUCGUGAGACAGUUCGGUCCCUAUCUGCCGUGGGCGCUGGAGAACUGAGGGGGGCUGCUCCUAGUACGAGAGGACCGGAGUGGACGCAUCACUGGUGUUCGGGUUGUCAUGCCAAUGGCACUGCCCGGUAGCUAAAUGCGGAAGAGAUAAGUGCUGAAAGCAUCUAAGCACGAAACUUGCCCCGAGAUGAGUUCUCCCUGAGACUUAGAGUCUCCUGAAGGAACGUUGAAGACGACGACGUUGAUAGGCCGGGUGUGUAAGCGCAGCGAUGCGUUGAGCUAACCGGUACUAAUGAACCGUGAGGCUUAACCUU